rnacentral:rRNA from 1 species
UUUGGCCUCGGAUCAGGCGGGAUACCCGC